GCACUCUUUUCAGUAGCACAUAUAGUAAAAUUAGAGAUUUACAGAGAAGAUUAGCAUGGCCCCUGCGUAAGACUAACGUGCAAAUUUGAACAACGCAUUUCAUAGUUUU